CCCUAGCGACACUGCGAUACAGAGAAAGGGAAGGAGAAAAAAGAAAACCUUGCGCCACGAGGUGGGUUCUUUCUAAAAUCUUUGACAGCUCUUUCUCUCUCUGUCAAUGGCAGACAAGAAAUUAGGGUUCUUCACUAUAAAAGACCAUCAGAUCCGUAUCCUCCAUCGUGGUUGCUGCAAAUUUUUUGGGUUUUUCUCUUAACUGGCACCGGUAAUAGAGAGAUGCAGAUAUAGAGAAAUGGAGAGACAGAAAUAGAGAGAGAUAGAUACAAUCCGUAAGCAAUAGGGAUUGAGAUUGAGGAUCAGCACUACUCCGUGACCAAUAUAAUUGGAACUAAACACAGACUGAUGAAAGGUUGAUUCCGUUGUUUCUCCAAAGGACUUCUUCUCUAUUCUAUCUCAAUAUCAGUAUCAUUGGAUUCAUCCAUUGGAUUACAUUUUGCCAAUUGAUGUAUUUGGGAUAG